GAUGAACGCUAGCAACAGGCCUAACACAUGCAAGUCGAGGGGCAGCACAUGAGUAGCAAUACGAUGGUGGCGACCGGCGCAUGGGUGAGUAACACGUAUGCAACCUGCCUGUAAGAGGGGAAUAACCCGGAGAAAUUCGGACUAAUACCGCAUAAUACCACGAGACUGCAUGGUUUUGUGGUUAAACAUUUAUGGCUUACAGAUGGGCAUGCGUAUGAUUAGAUAGUUGGUAGGGUAACGGCCUACCAAGUCUACGAUCAUUAGGGGUUCUGAGAGGAAGGUCCCCCACACUGGUACUGAGACACGGACCAGACUCCUACGGGAGGCAGCAGUGAGGAAUAUUGGUCAAUGGGCGAGAGCCUGAACCAGCCAAGUCGCGUGAAGGAAGAAGGUUCUAUGGAUUGUAAACUUCUUUUGCAGGGGAAUAAAGGACGGUACGUGUACUGUUUUGUAUGUACCUUGCGAAUAAGGAUCGGCUAACUCCGUGCCAGCCGCCGCAGUAAAAC
rnacentral:rRNA from 1 species